rnacentral:rRNA from 1 species
UACGUAGGGGGCAAGCGUUGUCCGGAAUCAUUGGGCGUAAAGCGCGUGUAGGCGGUUCGGUAAGUCUGCUGUGAAAGUCCAGGGCUCAACCCUGGGAUGCCGGUGGAUACUGCUGAACUAGAGUGCGGAAGAGGCGAGUGGAAUUCCCGGUGUAGCGGUGAAAUGCGCAGAUAUCGGGAGGAACACCAAUUGCGAAGGCAGCUCGCUGGGACGUUACUGACGCUGAGACGCGAAAGCGUGGGGAGCAAACAGG